CCUACGGGAGGCAGCAGUGAGGAAUAUUGGUCAAUGGACGAGAGUCUGAACCAGCCAAGUAGCGUGAAGGAUGACUGCCCUACGGGUUGUAAACUUCUUUUAUAUGGGAAUAAAAUGCUCCACGUGUGCGUUUUUGUAUGUACCAUAUGACUAAGGAUCGGCUAACUCCGUGCCAGCAGCCGCGGUAAUACGGAGGAUCCGAGCGUUAUCCGGAUUUAUUGGGUUUAAAGGGAGCGUAGAUGGAUUGUUAAGUCAGUUGUGAAAGUUUGCGGCGCAACCGUAAAAUUGCAGUUGAUACUGGCAGUCUUGAGUACAGUAGAGGUAGGCGGAAUUCGUGGUGUAGCGGUGAAAUGCUUAGAUAUCACGAAGAACUCCGAUUGCGAAGGCAGCUCACUAAACUGCAACUGACACUGAGGCUCGAAAGUGUGGGUAUCAAACAGGAUUAGAUACCCGAGUAGUC
rnacentral:rRNA from 1 species